UACGAAGGGGGGCUAGCGUUGUUCGGAAUCACUGGGCGUAAAGGGCGCGUAGGCGGCCGAUCAAGUCGGGGGUGAAAGCCUGUGGCUCAACCACAGAAUUGCCUUCGAUACUGUUUGGCUUGAGACCGGAAGAGGGUAAGUGGAACUGCGAGUGUAGAGGUGAAAUUCGUAGAUAUUCGCAAGAACACCAGUGGCGAAGGCGGCUUACUGGUCCGGUUCUGACGCUGAG
rnacentral:rRNA from 1 species